CCUGAUUGCAGAACAUUGCUGAUUACAGAAUCUUGGGUUGUGUCUCCCACCUCAUCUUUCCCUACCAUCCCAGAAGAUCUAUAAGGUUCCAUCUGGGAAAACACUAGAAGUUCUUGGAAGGGAAAGAAGGAAGAGGAUUACUGGUUGGAAUAAAA
rnacentral:lncRNA from 1 species